rnacentral:rRNA from 1 species
AUUGAACGCUGGCGGCAGGCCUAACACAUGCAAGUCGAACGAGUGGCGGACGGGUGAGUAAUGUCUGGGAAACUGCCCGAUGGAGGGGGACAACUACUGGAAAAGGUAGCUAAUCCCGCAUACCAUCGGAUGUGCCCAUAUGGGAUUUGCUAGUAGGCUGGGUAACGGCUCACCUAGACGACGUUCCCUAGCUGGUCUGAGAGGAGGACCAGCCACGCUGGGACUGAGACACGGUCCAGACUCCUAGGGGAGGCAGCAGUGGGGAAUGUUGCACAAUUGGCGCAAGCCUGAUGCAGCCAUGCCGCGUGUAUGAAGAAGGCCUUCGGGUUGUAAAGUACUUUCAGCGAGGAGGCGUUACUCGCAGAAGAAGCACCGGCUAACUCCGUGCCAGCAGCCGCGGUAAUAC